ACAGAUCAAACCAUAACAUAAAUUAUACUCAAGACAGCAAUAACGGUUUUCCUGAACAAGACUACGUAGUAAACGGAAGUCAUAUCAAAUGAGGACAGUCUGGAGCGUGAAAGGGGAGCUAGUAAUUAUGCCAGGACAAUGCAGAGCAGGACUGUCUCAGGCAAACUGGCAAUAAGUAGUCUUACGGAUGAUAAAGUUGGAAAGAAGACACUGGCGGAACACCAAAACAAAGGAAAUCAGCAGACCGUAAAUGGGAGCGCCCGGAACCAAACCCUUCUCACUAGGCUAAUUUUUUCAAUCCAUUACUUAAGUUCAUAUUGUACUGUGUAUUUUCCUCAUAUAUUAUACAUUCAUGCCGUUUGGAUUCCUGUCCUCUAACAUUCAAAAGAGAUGACCUGUGAGAUGGUGGAAAGAGGCACAAUGAACGUAUAUGCAAUAUUAAAAAGCUCUGU